AGUGAACGCUGGCGGUAGGCCUAACACAUGCAAGUCGAACGGCAGCACAGUAAGAGCUUGCUCUUACGGGUGGCGAGUGGCGGACGGGUGAGGAAUACAUCGGAAUCUACUUUUUCGUGGGGGAUAACGUAGGGAAACUUACGCUACUACCGCAUACGACCUACGGGUGAAAGCAGGGGAUCUUCGGACCUUGCGCGAUUGAAUGAGCCGAUGUCGGAUUAGCUAGUUGGCGGGGUAAAGGCCCAACAAGGCCAAGAUGCGUAGCUGGUCUGAGAGGAAGGAUCGGCCACACGGAAAUUGGGACACGUUCAGACCCCCUAGGGAAGGCAGCGGAGGGGAACAUUGGACAAGGGGCGCAGGCCUACGCCAGCCAGACCGCGGGGGUGAAGAAGGCCUUCGAGUUGUAAAGCCCUUUUGUUGGGAAAGAAAAGUAUCAGGUUAAUUCCCCGCUGUUCGGACGUUACCCAAAGAAUAAGCACCGGCAAACUUCGU
rnacentral:rRNA from 1 species